rnacentral:lncRNA from 1 species
UCUCCACGGCCAGGCAAACGCCCUCCGAGGUCUGGAUCCCGAUGGCCGUGGAGCCGAGCUGCAAACAACCACCGUUACACCACCACGCCCAGCGCGGGGCAGCCACGACAGAGCAUAAACACCACGGUGCAGCACCGAUCCCGCUUUAUGCCACUUGUAGGGACGCUGUUUCGGAGCCGGACACAUCGGCAAGGCAGAAAACCCGCACGCAGAACCGCCCAGAGCUGCGCUCCGUUACAGCUCGAAGCGGGGAGCUGCAAGGGCGAAGCCCGUGCUCCCGCCUGCCGGUCAGCUCCUCAGGACCAGCGGCGUCAGGGCAAAUAAUUCAACCUCUUCCCCGAGUUUUAGCGCUUAAAGCCAUACGAUUUUAAAAGGCCUUGUGAACCCGGCUCUGCGAGACACAGGAAGCACUGAUGUGAGAGACGGAGCUCGCAGAACGGCCUCUAGUUCUGGUGGUGCCUGCACUCCCAGCUCAGGCACCGCUCUGUCGGUCAGCUCCUUUCCUCCUCAACGCCUUUUGUCCACAAAAUUUAGUGUGGAGGAGAGCAAACCACGCGCACACCACGCUCCGCGUUCCAGGUAGAGCUCAGCCCCCUGCAGUGUUUUCCCCCAACGUGCGGGUGCUGGAAGCACCCGGCGCGGCCCCACCCCAGCCAGCCACGAGGCCUCGGGGCUGUCACAUCGCGAGCUCGGGGCCUUCCCAGGGUGACUGCGCCAGACGUCGCGCGGGGCUGCUUGCUCAGGGGUGCUUGCUUAGGAACGCUCGGCUCAGAGCAGCCGGGGGAAUUGUGGCAGUGAGCGCCCCCGGGUCUGUAAGCGGAGGCAGGCCGGGGUCUCCCCCCCGCAGCGCUCGUGGGUUUAGGCACGGCCCAAUAGCCCCCGUCCUCUAAGCGUGCGCCUGCCACAGCUGGGCAUGAGCCCCAAGUGAGAAAGGGGUGAGAAAAGGACGCCUGCUGUUAUUCCAGGGGUGUUUCCAUCCGUGAGGCCGCUGCACGUGAACAACUCAUCCCACGCCCCGGGGCGCAGGCACCACACGGGCAUGUCCCAGGAGCCCCCCAGGAGCCCCCUGAGCUGAAACAAUCGUGUCUGCAGCUUGCCAGCUCGUCUGGAGACCAGCACAGCCUAACAGCUUCCAGACGCUUUCUACUCUGCCAGAAGUAUUUGCAACUAUAAAAUGUGGCGUGGGGACCGGCCUCCGCUCCAGAGUUCUCACCUCCCGGGGCCUUAAGCGACACGAAUUACUGCUUUUCACCUCCUCAUUUAAAGGAUGCUUUAAUGAACUAAAGCAGCAGAGGGAAGAUGAAGCCAGCAGACCCCACCCCGCACUCCCCCUUCCCCCCAGUUCACACGGAGGGCUGCUGACAGCUUCUC